AUUGAACGCUGGCGGCAGGCCUAACACAUGCAAGUCGAGCGGAUGAAGGGAGCUUGCUCCUGGAUUCAGCGGCGGACGGGUGAGUAAUGCCUAGGAAUCUGCCUGGUAGUGGGGGAUAACGUCCGGAAACGGGCGCUAAUACCGCAUACGUCCUGAGGGAGAAAGUGGGGGAUCUUCGGACCUCACGCUAUCAGAUGAGCCUAGGUCGGAUUAGCUAGUUGGUGGGGUAAAGGCCUACCAAGGCGACGAUCCGUAACUGGUCUGCGAGGAUGAUCAGUCACACUGGAACUGAGACACGGUCCAGACUCCUACGGGAGGCAGCAGUGGGGAAUAUUGGACAAAGGGCGAAAGCCUGAUCCAGCCAUGCCGCGUGUGUGAAGAAGGUCUUCGGAUUGUAAAGCACUUUAAGUUGGGAGGAAGGGCAGUAAGUUAAUACCUUGCUGUUUUGACGUUACCAACAGAAUAAGCACCGGCUAACUUCGUG
rnacentral:rRNA from 1 species